GCUUUUGGGCCUUGUGGCGUAGUUCACUGAAGUCAGUAAUUGCCUACUGGGAACUAUUUUUAAUAGUUCUCACGCCCUCUUUUUCGUGGUUUCUUUCAGAGCCUUCUGCACCGGCGGAGGCACGGGAUCGCGGCAAGGGGAUCGCAUAGCUAGCUAGCGAGGAGCGGUUCUUUGCCUAGGUGGUUUACUCUUUCUUUUUGUAGAUGAGAGAGAGUGAGAGAUUUUGUAUCCAUGUAUAGAGACCACCUAUGUAUCUACCUUUAGCACUUGUAUUGGGAUUUCCUUUGUAUUAUUUUAUGCUUUUAUUAGUGGAUUCCAGCUUUGUGUUACUUUCUCUAUUGUAGAACUUAGUAUUAUAUUAUGCUCUGAUACUCCUAAAUGUCCUUAUUAUUGCUUCAAUUAUCGUUGUUUUAGACGCCUUAUAUGUUUUAGACGUAUGGCGGGUCUGGGCACGUGCCGGGCGUGCUUCCGCUGGGUCCCGGGGCGUGAC
rnacentral:lncRNA from 1 species